rnacentral:lncRNA from 1 species
AAGAGAAGACUUACUACAAUAAUAUUGCGAAUUCAUCAUAAAAGUAGUAGCAUUUUUUUUCCUCCAACAAAACCAUAUUACACACAUAUAAAGUCUACUUUCAUUCUUUAAUACAAACCAUACUUAAAACAUACUAUAAAACGUGUCAUUACUAGAUAACAUAUAACAAAACAUAUAGAUAGGCCAUCCCCAGGUCAAAGUAACCAUAUGUACAUCAUCCAGGCGAGGUGCUGCUUCAGCUCGGUCCCACUUCUACUUUAUAUCUUUACCUUUACCUACAACACAAGAAAACUAUAAGCUACGCCGCUCAGUAAGUAAAGUAACUGAAGAGAAUUUAACACACAUAAGUAAUUCAACAUGUAUAAAUGCAUUUCAUCUUAUCUUUAGUAUUUAUGAACCUCGACACAUUAGUGUACCAUGUUUGACACAUUUGCCUGCAGGGCUUUCUUAUAACACAAUAGCCCAUGGGAAACCUCCUCAGGCGCCAUUACCAACAGAGUGGCUCGUUUUAUACCUUAUUCUAUCGUUGCCCCGUCGAGCUCAAGACCUAAGGCGGCCUUGCUCUGUGGUAUCUGAUCACAUAGAUCUUAGAUCACAUAGAUCUUAACAACAUGGAGGAGGCAAGAACAACUUAUAUUCGAUAACCGAACCUGGCCUGCCCUUAAAGGGCUACCCUUACAAGCCUUCAAAAGACUUAAUAAAACUUAUCUUCACGUAACAGUGACAUAAUUCAAUUAUACAAUCAUAUUCCCAAUUGAUCAUAUGCAUAAUCUCAUAUAUUUAGCAACAUAUGCUAUCAAAACUUCUCAAUAAUUACACGCAACAAGUCACAUAACUACAAUCACCACAAUCAUCAUAAAGUAAUACAAAAAUUGACAAUCACCAAGGACAGAUCAAACUAGUAAUCUUGUGUUGCAGUUAAGUACUUUACUUACCUCAAGUCCGGUUUAAAUAGCAAGACACUUUCGAUCAACGUCCUUAUGAUCACCUAAAAUCAUACGUAUUUCCUUUGUCAUAAAUCAUUCUUUAUGCCACUUAUAUAGUUUAUAACUUUGGUUGAGUUAAUUAAUCCAUGAUUUAAUAAUUUAAACCUUUUUACAUAAAUUAAUAACCACUAAUAAUAUUGCAAAUACUAUCUAAGAAACUACUAAAUAAAAUACUAAAAUAUCAUUCCAUUUAAUAAUAGAAACUUCACACAAAAUAUAACUAAGUACCUCAAAGUUGAGCUAACUUUGACUCCUUCCUUU